rnacentral:rRNA from 1 species
UACGUAGGGGGCAAGCGUUGUCCGGAUUGAUUGGGCGUAAAGAGCGUGUAGGCGGCCUGACAGGUCUGCUGUGAAAACUCGAGGCUCAACCUCGAGAUGUCGGCGGAAACCGUCUGGCUAGAGUCCGGAAGAGGAGAGUGGAAUUCCUGGUGUAGCGGUGAAAUGCGUAGAGAUCGGGAGGAACACCUGUGGCGAAGGCGGCCCCCUGGGCCGGCCCUGACACUGAGACGCGAAGGCGUGGGGAGCGAACGGG